CCCUAAUUUUGGUAGGGAUAACCAUAGUCCUGAUGUUAAUUCUGGUCAUGAUGUUAAUGGAUCAGGUAACUUGUUUUCUCCUGUUGGAUCUAGUAACAACUAUGGGCUGGUUCCUGUUGUUGGCCAUAGUCAUGGAGCAGGCAUCUUGGGCCCAAGUCUUGGUUAUUCUGGAUCUUUUGUUCAUGGUUUUGCACCAGUAGCUAGUUCACAGCCUGGGCCGACAGGUCAGCCUUCUAGUAAUGGGCCUGCUGGACAAAACUUAGGGACUACACCAUUGGGUUUUGGACCAGAUCACUUUGCUAGUUAGGCUGGACCGCAGACUAGUUUUUCUGGGUCUCAUUAUGGGCUACAUACAGAUUUGUCGAGUGCGUGUCAGCAGGUUGAGUCAUGGAUUCCAGACUCUCUCUGGUGCUUCUGCUCAUAUGACAUCUAGUCCUUCAUUGGUUUUUGGUGCUACUCCUUAUACCGGGACUGAGCGUGUUAUUGUCGGCGAUGACUCUUGCGGGUCAGAGCCUCCACCACAUGCGUGCUAGGCCGCAUCAGCUUUAUUCUCUCUUUGUGGCAUUCUCUGCUUCGCGAGAGACGUGGCAUUCUAGAUUGGGAUAUCCGUCUGAUUCUGUUAUGACUAGACUAUCAUUGUUUACUUCUAGAAAUAAAACUGGAAAUACUGUUUGUAUUUCCUGUAAUAUUUCUAAAUCUAGUCGAUUGCCUUUUCA